UACGAAGGGGGCGAGCGUUGUUCGGAAUUACUGGGCGUAAAGGGCGCGCAGGCGGCUCUGAAAGUCAGAUGUGAAAGCCCCGGGCUUAACCUGGGAACUGCAUUUGAUACUCUAGAGCUUGAGUACGGGAGAGGAGAGUGGAAUUCCUAGUGUAGAGGUGAAAUUCGUAGAUAUUGGGAAGAACACCGGUGGCGAAGGCGGCUCUCUGGACCGUAACUGACGCUGAGGCGCGAAAGCGUGGGGAGCAAACAGG
rnacentral:rRNA from 1 species